UGUAAAAGAAUGGAUAUGGUUUUGUUGUUGUUAAAUUCCUGUUAAACUUGGGAUCGCAACCAUGGGUUUAUUUUGGAACUUUUAUUUUGAAAAUCCGCAGCGGAAGUCUGCUACUGGUAAACGGGCUACCCCCUAAGCCUAUCGUUAGUAGCAAUGAAGCUUUCGCUGUGUUUGGGCGGAAUCCUGUUGCUGAAACCCAUGGUUAUUCAUGUCCCAUGUUAUUGCAGGGGAAUAAAUCGCGCCUGAGCUCUACC